rnacentral:rRNA from 1 species
CGAACCGGAUUAGAUACCCGGGUAGUCCUAGGUGUAAACGCUGUGGACUUGGUGUUGGGGAUUCUCCGAGGAUUCUCAGUGCCGAAGCGAAGGUGAUAAGUCCACUGCCUGGGGAGUACGGUCGCAAGGCUGAAACUUAAAGGAAUUGGCGGGGGAGCACCGCAACCUGAGGAUUGUGCGGUUUAAUUGGAUUCGACGCCGGAAAACUCACCAGUGCCGACGGACAGAUGAAAGCCAGUGUGAUGAGCUUGCUGGAUUGUUCGAGAGGUAGUGCAUGGCCGCCGUCAGUUCGUACCGUAAGGCGUUCUGUUAAGUCAGAUAACGAACGAGACCCUCAUCCCUAUUUGCUAAGGUUUCUCCCUUCGGGGCGAGAUCACGGGACUAUAGGGAGACCGCUGGCGAGAAGUCAGAGGAAGGUGAGGGCAACGGUAGGUCAGUAUGCUCCGAAUGCACUGGGCUACACGCGCAAUACAAAGGACGGGACAAUGGGCCGCUGCUCCGAGAGGAAAGAUGGCUAUCCCGAAACCCGUUCGUAGUUCGGAUUGAGGGCUGUAACUCGCCCUCAUGAAGCUGGAUUAGGUAGUAAUCGCGUCUCAAAAAGGCGCGGUGAAUAUGCCCCUGCUCCUUGCACACACCGCCCGUCAAACCAUCUUAGUUGGGGGUGGGUGAGGCUGCCUUUUAGUGGGUAUUCGAGCAU